AACGCGAAGAACCUUACCAACCUUUGACAUGUCCAGUAUGAGCCUGAGAGAUCAGGUUCUUCAGUUCGGCUGGCUGGAACACAGGUGCUGCAUGGCUGUCGUCAGCUCGUGUCGUGAGAUGUUGGGUUAAGUCCCGCAACGAGCGCAACCCUCAUCUUUAGUUGCUACCAUUCAGUUGGGCACUCUAAAGAAACCGCCGGUGACAAGCCGGAGGAAGGCGGGGAUGACGUCAAGUCCUCAUGGCCCUUACAGGUUGGGCUACACACGUACUACAAUGGUGGUGACAGUGGGUUGCGAAGUCGCAAGAUGGAGCCAAUCCCCAAAAGCCAUCUCAGUUCAGAUUGUACCCUGCAACUCGGGUGCAUGAAGUUGGAAUCGCUAGUAAUCGCAGAUCAGCACGCUGCGGUGAAUACGUUCCCGGGCCUUGUACACACCGCUAGUC
rnacentral:rRNA from 1 species